GCUGAGGCGAAUGUCGGCCAGGACCUCCAGCUCAGCCCUGCGCCGCACCCUGGGGGGGGGGGGGAGGUUGAGGGCUGGAAGAGCAGAGUGUUCCUGACUGAACAAGCUGACGCCAUGCAGUGCUGCUCCGCCACUCACUGCUAGGCGCGCUAAGUGGGCAGGCGGCGGCGGGAGGAGGACGAGCCCCUGAGUCUCACCGUACAGAGACUCCAUGCGCUCCUGCUUCUGUCUGGCCCUCCCACGGGAAACGUCGGCGGCUGGCAGAGACAGAGAUGGCGCAGCCAGUCAGCUAGCUGGAGGCCAACCUUGGAUGACCAUGCGCAUGUAGAGGCGAAGACAGCUGCUGGUUAUGAGUUGCAGGCAUUGACUGACGACCUGCAGGGUAAGGAGAAGCUCACUUGACAGCAGCGUGUGACGAUCAGCCGGCCACUGAUUGACAGCCAUCGCCAGCCGAUCGGAAUGACAGGCUGCAGCCGCAGGCCUUUAGCUGCCUUUCGGUCAUGGAAUGUUCCGGGUUUGUCUUUUUCUUCGUCGGUACCUUUUGUCGCACAGGUAUGUGUCAAGAAAAGUGAUUAAAGGUGGAUUUCGAGGAAUUGUGGGGGUGCAAGUUGGGGUGGGGGAGUAUAUGAGCCAUGUAAACCAUCUGUCAGGUCAACAGAGUUUGUGUUUGGUGCAGACAGUCGGUGGAGGAAUUUGCCAGAAGUCUGCCGAGCUAGUCGAGUUUAGGGUAACCCCUCCCGCCCCCCAGAUCUUGAGCAGUAGCGACAUAGGUGGGGGCCGGACUUAGCGUGUACAGCAGCAACCGACACAAGAUACUAGCAGAGAAGGUGCUUUGGCCUUAACAUGGAUGUUACCUGGCAGUCAGGCAUGUGCUUAGCCCAUCUGCAGCUGGAGACUUUACCCAGUUCGCCAUGGCGACCACGAACAGCCCCAUCAGUCCCCGAGGAAGGUGGUCUCAGAGGAAGGCGUGACCCGAAGCUCGUUACGUAUUAAAUCACUUACGACGGCCUCAGGGUGAGAGUCUUGUAAAGUACCACGUCGCCUUCCCUGCCCCCCUGCCUGCUGGUGCCCUCCUGCUUGUAAACACGGGGCACAGUGUGUCACGCACACACACAGCGUCCUAUCCACACGCACUAACAGGUCACCCUGCCCUCAGCCACAGCUGUAGUUACACAGUCACGGUCGAGCGGCCCCAUUGGCUAAAGCGAUGCAGCCCCCAGUGAA